rnacentral:rRNA from 1 species
GAGUUUGAUCGUGGCUCAGAUUGAACGCUGGCGGCAUGCCUUACACAUGCAAGUCGAACGGCAGCAUGAUCUAGCUUGCUAGAUUGAUGGCGAGUGGCGAACGGGUGAGUAAUACAUCGGAACGUGCCCUGUAGUGGGGGAUAACUAGUCGGAAGAUUAGCUAAUACCGCAUACGACCUGAGGGUGAAAGUGGGGGACCGCAAGGCCUCAUGCUAUAGGAGCGGCCGAUGUCUGAUUAGCUAGUUGGUGGGGCAAAGGCCCACCAAGGCGACGAUCAGUAACUGGUCUGAGAGGACGAUCAGCCACACUGGGACUGAGACACGGCCCAGACUCCUACGGGAGGCAGCAGUGGGGAAUUUGGACAAUGGGGGCAACCCUGAUCCAGCAAUGCCGCGUGUGUGAAGAAGG